GAAGACCCAUUUCCAGGCAAUUGUUGACAAUGCAACACUGGACUGUGAGGGUGAAAGAAACAUCUUUCAUGCACCCAAAUUUAUUGCCGGUCUGGUAAAUCACCUUCUACCACAUGCAACUUUGUGGUCAUCAAUGAUGCUCGGGGAUCUUGGACAUCAUGGUACUGGUCCUGCUUACCAGCAGCUCAGUAAACUCUAUAGUGACAUUCAGCAAUCCAAGAACCAGAAUUUUACACAAGACAACAGAACCCAAGGAAUCAUGGAGAAAAGCCAGUGGGAUUUGAAAAAAAUCCGUAUCCAGAGAAGGAGACUGACAAGGCUUGAUGACUUUGUGGAAAUUUA